CACUAGCUACUUGCAUCAUUGUAAAAAUGAUGCAGGAUCGACUAUGUCGAAUAAAAUUCUAGGUAGAAUUUUGAUAAUGACAUUGUCUGCCUAUGUGUCUUGACCAAAUUACGUGCCAGCAGUCGCGGUAAUACGUAGAAGACUAGUGUUAUUCAUGUUUAAUCGGUUUAAAGGGUACCUAGACGGUAAAUCAAGCCUAAAAUUAAGUGAAGGGACUAAUUUACUAGAGUUACUUAUGAGGGGGUAUUAAAGUACUGCUGGUGUAGAGAUGAAAUUCUGUCAUACCUCUUUUCAAUAGAAAAAUAACGGCACAGGUAUAGGCGAAAGCAUCCCCUUAUGUGAUAACUGACGUUGAGGGACGAAGGCUUUGUGUAGCGAACAGGAUUAGAUACCCCAGUAGUCAAAGCAGAAAAUGAUGAAUGUCAUAGAUUAGAUAAAUAAGUUUAUUCUAUAAAUGAAAGUGUAAGCAUUCCACCUCAAGAGUAAUUUGGCAACAUUGGAACUGAAAUCAUUAGACCGUUUCUGAAACCAGUAGUGAAGUAUGUUGUUUAAUUUGAUGAUCCGCAAAAAACCUUACCACAAUUUGAAUAUUUAUAUCUUUUAUUGUUUUUUUUUUAUUUUUCUUCUGAUUUUCAUUGUAUGAUUUUCUU
rnacentral:rRNA from 1 species